rnacentral:rRNA from 1 species
CCCUAUUAUUAAUAAGUAAAGGAAUUAGUAUGGAAUGAAAUUUAAUAAUUCUGGCGGUUAAUUUAAAAUUUAGAGGAGCUUGUUGGAUUGGAAUUUACUCUUUGUAUUUAAUUUAUAUAUUGUUUAUUCAUCUCUGUUAUAAGAUGAAAGUUGAGAAAAAAUGUAAAUUUUAUAUUUCAAGUCAAGAUGUAGCAUAUUUAAUUUAAAAAUUAGCUACAAUUAUUUAAUAAAUGGAUUUUAAUAAGAAAAAUUGAGAGAAAGUGGAUUUAAUUGUAAAAUUGGUUAGAAUGCUAAUAUGAAAUGUAUAAUUAAUGUA